rfam:Metschnikowia bicuspidata var. bicuspidata NRRL YB-4993 METBIscaffold_3, whole genome shotgun sequence.
GUCGUAUAAGCUAACAAGGUAUAGCGGCCGUUUUGUAGUCGGAAGGUGUGGAGUUUGAUUCUUGAAUACGACA